rnacentral:rRNA from 1 species
AUGGAUCCAAAUUCAACAUAUUUGCUGAAAAUCAAAUUGCUUGGCAACCCAAAAAAAGCUAGGAAGGAUAUCAAAUGCUUUUGUUAUGAUAAGGUUAUUGAUUCUGACUUAACAAAUUAUAAGGACUUGGUUGAAUCAAUCGUAGAGCAGUACUCGCCUCGCUAUUUGGAAGUUGCACAUGUUCAGUACUAUGAUCCUUUUCUUAAAAUCUACCCAGAAGUAACAUCUGACCAAGAAUUGGUGUCUAUGUUUGAGAAACUCUCUAAGACAAAGGUUGUGCACUUGUUUGUUGCAUAUUGUGAUCCAUAUGAACCAUAUGAGCCUAUCACAGAGUGGCAUAUUGAUGUGCAUAUCCAACCAAGCAACACAGAACAAGACGACAAUGAUUAUCUUCGCAACCCAAUACCUGAGAAUGAACAUGUUGGUGUUGAUGAGGAAAAUAUUUAUUUAGACGAUGAUGAUUAUGAUAAAUUAGAUCCUCUUAUCAUGGUUCCCUGUUCCGAUAAAGAAAGGGACAAAGACUAUUUUCCUGAUCAUGAGAGCGAGGAUGAGAGCGAGGAUGAGAGUGAUGAGGAAGUAGAGGAAGAUGAGGAAGUGCACGAGGCAGAGCAUGCACCACAUUUAGAAUAUGAUAAAUUAGAUCCCCCAAUGACCGAAGGAAGAAAAUAUCCCAAUAUGGCAGAGUUUAAGUUGGCGCUUUCUCAACAUGCAAUCAAACAUGAAUUUGAGUUUAACACCGAGAAAAGUGCACCACAGGUUCAGGGCUUAUUGUUCAAGAAGGGAUGA